CGUGUAGGCGGCCAAGCAGGUCCGUUGUGAAAACUGGAGGCUUAACCUCCAGACGUCGACGGAAACCGCGCGGCUAGAGUCCGGAAGAGGAGAGUGGAAUUCCUGGUGUAGCGGUGAAAUGCGCAGAUAUCAGGAAGAACACCAAUGGCGAAGGCAGCUCUCUGGGACGGUACUGACGCUGAGACGCGAAAGCGUGGGAGCGAACA
rnacentral:rRNA from 1 species